rnacentral:rRNA from 1 species
GACGAACGCUGGCGGCGUGCUUAAAACAUGCAAGUCGAACGGUGAAGGGAGCUUGCUCCCGGAUCAGUGGCGAACGGGUGAGUAACACGUGAGGAACCUGCCGUGCUGUGGGGGAUACCCUUCCGAAAGGAUGGUUAAUACCGCAUAGGGCGCGUCUUCCGCCUGGGAGACGCGGGAAAGCCGAAAGGCGCAGCGCGAGGGUCUCGCGGCCUAUCAGCUAGUUGGUGUGGUCAUGGCGCACCAAGGCGACGACGGGUAGCCGGCCUGAGAGGGUGACCGGCCACACUGGGACUGCGACACGGCCCAGACUCCUACGGGAGGCAGCAGUGGGGAAUAUUGCGCAAUGGGGGGAACCCUGACGCAGCAACGCCGCGUGGAGGAAGAAGGUCUUCGGAUUGUAAACUCCUGUCUUCUGGGAAGAUAAUGACGGUACCAGAGGAGGAAGCCACGGCUAACUACGUG